rnacentral:misc_RNA from 1 species
GAUCAUUACCGAGUUUACAACUCCCAAACCCCUGUGAACAUACCAAUUGUUGCCUCGGCGGAUCAGCCCGCUCCCGGUAAAACGGGACGGCCCGCCAGAGGACCCCUAAACUCUGUUUCUAUAUGUAACUUCUGAGUAAAACCAUAAAUAAAUCAAAACUUUCAACAACGGAUCUCUUGGUUCUGGCAUCGAUGAAGAACGCAGCAAAAUGCGAUAAGUAAUGUGAAUUGCAGAAUUCAGUGAAUCAUCGAAUCUUUGAACGCACAUUGCGCCCGCCAGUAUUCUGGCGGGCAUGCCUGUUCGAGCGUCAUUUCAACCCUCAAGCCCCCGGGUUUGGUGUUGGGGAUCGGCGAGCCCUUGCGGCAAGCCGGCCCCGAAAUCUAGUGGCGGUCUCGCUGCAGCUUCCAUUGCGUAGUAGUAAAACCCUCGCAACUGGUACGCGGCGCGGCCAAGCCGUUAAACCCCCAACUUCUGAAUGUUGACCUCGGAUCAGGUAGGAAUACCCGCUGA